AAAUUUAAAUAUAGUUUUUAUUAAAAUAUUUUAAACUUUCUUUAUAUUUUAUAUAAAUAGAUUUGUUAUGUAAUAGAAGAAAAAUUUAUUUUUUUUAUAAAAAAUAAAAUAGAAGUUUAAAAGAAUUGAUUUUUGGCUAAACUUGUGCCAGCCGCCGCGGUUAUACAAGUAAAUCUUUUUUUAAAAAAAUUAAAAUUAAUAAAAAUAUUUAAAUAUUUUAAAAAUUUAUAAAGGUGAAAUUUAUAAUUUUUAUAUUAAUUAGUUUGAUUUUAAAGAAAUUUAAUUUUUAAACUAGGAUUAGAUACCCUAUUAUUUUAAGCUGUAUGUUGGUAGUAAAUAAAAUUUAUGAAAUCAUAAAAUUUUGGCGGUAUUUUAAGCUUAUUAGAGGAAUUUGCUCUGUAAUGGAUAAAACGCCUAGAUCUUACUUAAUUUAGUAAUUAAAGUCAGUUUGUAUACCACUAUAUUUAAUUAUAUUGAGUAGUUAUAUUUAAGAUUUUUUUCAACAAAAAAUAUAUUAAGUCAAGGUGCAAUUAAUAAUUAUGAAUGAAGUGAAUUACAUUAAUUUUAAUGUUAUUAAAAUAUUGAAAAAAAGUUUUUAGGAUUUAAUAGUAAAAUAUUAAUAUAAUGAAUAUUUGAAUAGAGCUCUAAAAUAUGCACAUAUCGCCCGUCGCUCUCAGGAGUGAGAUAAGUCGUAACAAAGUAAAAAUACUGGAAAGUGUUUUU
rnacentral:ncRNA from 1 species